UACGUAGGUGGCAAGCGUUGUCCGGAUUUACUGGGCGUAAAGGCUGCGUAGGUGGAUAUUUAAGUGGGAUGUGAAAUACCCGGGCUCAACUUGGGUGCUGCAUUCCAAACUGGAUAUCUAGAGUGCAGGAGAGGAAAGUGGAAUUCCUAGUGUAGCAGUGAAAUGCGUAGAUAUUAGGAGGAACACCAGUGGCGAAGGCGGCUUUCUGGACUGUAACUGACACUGAGGCAUGAAAGCGUGGGGAGCAAACAGG
rnacentral:rRNA from 1 species